AUGGCCUGCACCCUGCUCCUCCUCCUCCUCACCCUCCUCCAGGGCACAGGGUCCCUGUCCCAGCCUGUGCUGACUCCGUCGCCCUCUGUGUCUGCCGCCCUGGGAGCCUCGGCCAAGCUCACCCGCACCCUGAGCAGUGCCCACAGCGACUACACCAUUGCCUGUACCAGCAGCAGCCAGGGAAGGCCCCUCGGUACCUGCUGUAUCUUGAGAGCGAUGGAAACCAUGAAAAGGGGACCGGGGUCCCUGAUCGCUUCUCGGGCUCCAGCUCUGGAGCUGACCGCUACUUGACCAUCUCCAGCACCCAGGCUGAGGACGAAGCCGACUACAUCUGCGGCGUGGUUUCUCUCAUUGAUGGUUCGCAUACUUAA